rnacentral:rRNA from 1 species
GAGUUUGAUCCUGGCUCAGAGCGAACGCUGGCGGCAGGCCUAACACAUGCAAGUCGAACGAACUCUUCGGAGUUAGUGGCGGACGGGUGAGUAACACGUGGGAACGUGCCUUUUGGUUCGGAAUAACUCAGGGAAACUUGUGCUAAUACCGAAUGUGCCCUUCGGGGAAGAUUUAUCGCAUUAGAGCGGCCCGCGUCUGAUUAGCUAGUUGGUGAGGUAAAGGCUCACCAAGGCGACGAUCAGUAGCUGGUCUGAGAGGAUGAUCAGCCACACUGGGACUGAGACACGGCCCAAACUCCUACGGGAGGCAGCAGUGGGGAAUCUUGCGCAAUGGGCGAAAGCCUGACGCAGCCAUGCCGCGUGAAUGAUGAAGGUCUUAGGAUUGUAAAAUUCUUUCACCGGGGACGAUAAUGACGGUACCCGGAGAAGAAGCCCCGGCUAACUUCGUGCCAGCCGCCGCAGU